GAUGAACGCUGGCGGCGUGCCUAAUACAUGCAAGUCGAGCGAACGGACGAGAAGCUUGCUUCUCUGAUGUUAGCGGCGGACGGGUGAGUAACGCGUGGAUAACCUACCUAUAAGACUGGGAUAACUUCGGGAAACCGGAGCUAAUACCGGAUAAUAUUUUGAACCGCAUGGUUCAAAAGUGAAAGACGGUCUUGCUGUCACUUAUAGAUGGAUCCGCGCUGCAUUAGCUAGUUGGUAAGGUAACGGCUUACCAAGGCAACGAUGCAUAGCCGACCGGAGAGGGGAGUGGGCACCACGGGACUGGGACCAGGAUACGGACUCGACGGGGAGGAGGGAGAGGGGAUUCUGCCGUAGGGGGAGGAGGCGAGAAGGGGCACAGCGGGGGGGUGGACAGGGGGAUGGGGAUAUAAAAUCUAUAUUAUGGGGGAAAAACAAAUGUAAAAGAAACGGGGAGUUUCUGGACGGUACCUAACAAAAAAGCCACGGCUAACUCCGUG
rnacentral:rRNA from 1 species